AAGUCGUAACAAGGUUUUCGUAGGUGAACCUGCGGAAGGAUCAUUAACACGUAUUCAAAAUCUCUGAUAAAUCAUAGCCCGGAAAGUUGUAGUGAUUCAGAGACCUCUGGCUACGUGCGAACAUUGGAACAGUUACAAUCGAGCGGUAGUUCAAAAGGCAAUGUUUCCCCAAGCAGUCAGUGUCGGAAAGUGUCAUUGAUUGUGCAAGGAUAGCGCUUCGACGAUACCGUACACUCGGGCAGGAGCUUUGCCAAAGGGUCCCCAUGCCCCCUAAUAACCCCACAGUUUAAUGUGAAGCUCAAUGUAAUACAUUGGGUCGAAAAACCGAACAACUGUUAACAAUGGAUAUCUUGGUUCUC
rnacentral:misc_RNA from 1 species